GCCCCGAUAGUGUAGUGGCCUAUCAUACAAGCCUGUCGAGCUUGUGACACGGGUCCGAAUCCCGUUCGGGGCG
rnacentral:tRNA from 1 species